UGCUGCAUUAGUGGUGGUAGUAAUACUAAUUAUCAUGUCAGCUUGCCUGUCGACCAAGAAGGGGAAAGUUACACUUUUAUUUCUUUUUGGAGGGAGUUAUGUAGAUUUGUGUUUCUUGAUAGCUGUUUUGUUCUGUUUUGAUAUCUUGGCAUUUUUCUCAUCAGUGGGAGGAGUCAUAGUAACCAGCCAAUAACCAGUAUGCAGGACAUGGAUGCAGCAAAGGGUGCUUCCUCAGAUCCCUCACCAUCAAGGAAAGAGCAGAAAGACUCCAGCAGUGAAAUCCACACAAACUACUACACCAACGAUCAGCUACACGGCAACAUAGAGGCUGAAGAGGAUGGCGACCCAUACCAG